UACGUAGGCAGCGAGCGUUGUUCGGAAUUACUGGGCGUAAAGAGUGUGUAGGCGGCGCUCUAAGUUCGGUGUGAAAUCUCUCGGCUUAACUGGGAAGGUGCGCCGGAAACUGGAGUGCUCGAACGUGGGAGAGGAAAGCGGAAUUCCUGGUGUAGCGGUGAAAUGCGUAGAUAUCAGGAGGAACACCUGCGGUGUAGACGGCUUUCUGGACCAUUGUUGACGCUGAGACACGAAAGCGUGGGUAGCAAACAGG
rnacentral:rRNA from 1 species